CCUACGGGAGUCAGCAGUGGGGAAUAUUGGACAAUGGGCGAAAGCCUGAUCCAGCCAUGCCGCGUGUGUGAAGAAGGCCUUCGGGUUGUAAAGCACUUUCAGUGGGGAAGAAAGCCUUGGGGCUAAUACCCUCGAGGAAGGACAUCACCCACAGAAGAAGCACCGGCUAACUCCGUGCCAGCAGCCGCGGUAAUACGGAGGGUGCGAGCGUUAAUCGGAAUUACUGGGCGUAAAGCGCGCGUAGGCGGUCUGAUAAGCCGGUUGUGAAAGCCCCGGGCUCAACCUGGGAACGGCAUCCGGAACUGUCAGGCUAGAGUGCAGGAGAGGAAGGUAGAAUUCCCGGUGUAGCGGUGAAAUGCGUAGAGAUCGGGAGGAAUACCAGUGGCGAAGGCGGCCUUCCGGACUGACACUGACGCUGAGGUGCGAAAGCGUGGGUAGCAAACAGGAUUAGAUACCCCUGUAGUC
rnacentral:rRNA from 1 species